rnacentral:rRNA from 1 species
AGUGAACGCUGGCGGUAGGCCUAACACAUGCAAGUCGAACGGCAGCACAGUAAGAGCUUGCUCUUACGGGUGGCGAGUGGCGGACGGGUGAGGAAUACAUCGGAAUCUACUUUUUCGUGGGGGAUAACGUAGGGAAACUUACGCUAAUACCGCAUACGACCUACGGGUGAAAGCAGGGGAUCUUCGCACCUUGCGCGAUUGAAUGAGCCGAUGUCGGAUUAGCUAGUUGGCGGGGUAAAGGCCCACCAAGGCGAGGAUCCGUAGCUGGUCUGAGAGGAUGAUCAGCCACACUGGAACUGAGACACGGUCCAGACUCCUACGGGAGGCAGCAGUGGGGAAUAUUGGACAAUGGGCGCAAGCCUGAUCCAGCCAUACCGCGUGGGUGAAGAAGGCCUUCGGGUUGUAAAGCCCUUUUGUUGGGAAAGAAAAGCAGCAGGUUAAUACCCCGCUGUUCUGACGGUACCCAAAGAAUAAGCACCGGCUAACUUCGUG